UAUAGAGGGUGCGAGCGUUAAUCGGAAUUACUGGGCGUAAAGCGCACGUAGGCGGCUUGGUAUGUCGGGUGUGAAAUCCCCGGGCUCAACCUGGGAACUGCAUCCGAAACUGCCUUGCUCGAGUAUGGGAGAGGGAAGUGGAAUUUCCGGUGUAGCGGUGAAAUGCGUAGAUAUCGGAAGGAACAUCAGUGGCGAAGGCGACUUCCUGGACCAAUACUGACGCUCAGGUGCGAAAGCGUGGGGAGCAAACAGG
rnacentral:rRNA from 1 species